CCAUCCCAGUUCGGAUCGCAGGCUGCAACCCGCCUGCGUGAAGUUGGAAUCGCUAGUAAUCGCGGAUCAGCAUGCCGCGGUGAAUACGUUCCCGGGCCUUGUACACACCGCCCGUCACACCAUGAGAGUCGGGAACACCCGAAGUCCGUAGCCUAACCGCAAGGGGGGCGCGGCCGAAGGUGGGUUCGAUAAUUGGGGUGAAGUCGUAACAAGGUAAC
rnacentral:rRNA from 1 species